ACGAACGCUGGCGGCGUGCUUAACACAUGCCAGUCGAACGGAAAGGCCCUGCUUUUGUGGGGUGCUCGAGUGGCGAACGGGUGAGUAACACGUGAGUAACCUGCCCUUGACUUUGGGAUAACUUCAGGAAACUGGGGCUAAUACCGGAUAGGAGCUCCUGCUGCAUGGUGGGGGUUGGAAAGUUUCGGCGGUUGGGGAUGAACUCGCGGCUUAUCAGCUUGUUGGUGGGGUAGUGGCUUACCAAGGCUUUGACGGGUAGCCGGCCUGAGAGGGUGACCGGCCACAUUGGGACUGAGAUACGGCCCAGACUCCUACGGGAGGCAGCAGUGGGGAAUAUUGCACAAUGGGCGGAAGCCUGAUGCAGCAACGCCGCGUGCGGGAUGACGGCCUUCGGGUUGUAAACCGCUUUCGCCUGUGACGAAGCGUGAGUGACGGUAAUGGGUAAAGAAGCACCGGCUAACUACGUG
rnacentral:rRNA from 1 species